UACGAAGGGGGCUAGCGUUGUUCGGAAUUACUGGGCGUAAAGGGCGCGCAGGCGGCCCUCCAAGUCAGGCGUGAAAGCCCCGGGCUCAACCCGGGAAUAGCGCUUGAGACUGGGGGGCUUGAGUUCGGGAGAGGAGAGUGGAAUUCCCAGUGUAGAGGUGAAAUUCGUAGAUAUUGGGGAAGAACACCGGUGGCGAAGGCGGCUCUCUGGACCGACACUGA
rnacentral:rRNA from 1 species